GCGUGCUUAACACAUGCAAGUCGAACGAUGAAGCCCAGCUUGCUGGGUGGAUUAGUGGCGAACGGGUGAGUAACACGUGAGUAACCUGCCCUUAACUCUGGGAUAAGCCUGGGAAACUGGGUCUAAUACCGGAUAGGAGCGCUCCACCGCAUGGUGGGUGUUGGAAAGAUUUAUCGGUUUUGGAUGGACUCGCGGCCUAUCAGCUUGUUGGUGAGGUAAUGGCUCACCAAGGCGACGACGGGUAGCCGGCCUGAGAGGGUGACCGGCCACACUGGGACUGAGACACGGCCCAGACUCCUACGGGAGGCAGCAGUGGGGAAUAUUGCACAAUGGGCGCAAGCCUGAUGCAGCGACGCCGCGUGAGGGAUGACGGCCUUCGGGUUGUAAACCUCUUUCAGUAGGGAAGAAGCGAAAGUGACGGUACCUGCAGAAGAAGCACCGGCUAACUACGUGCCAGCAGCCGCGGUAAUACGUAGGGUGCGAGCGUUAUCCGGAAUUAUUGGGCGUAAAGAGCUCGUAGGCGGUUUGUCGCGUCUGUCGUGAAAGUCCGGGGCUUAACCCCGGAUCUGCGGUGGGUACGGGCAGACUAGAGUGCAGUAGGGGAGACUGGAAUUCCUGGUGUAGCGGUGGAAUGCGCAGAUAUCAGGAGGAACACCGAUGGCGAAGGCAGGUCUCUGGGCUGUAACUGACGCUGAGGAGCGAAAGCAUGGGGAGCGAACAGGAUUAGAUACCCUGGUAGUCCAUGCCGUAAACGUUGGGCACUAGGUGUGGGGACCAUUCCACGGUUUCCGCGCCGCAGCUAACGCAUUAAGUGCCCCGCCUGGGGAGUACGGCCGCAAGGCUAAAACUCAAAGGAAUUGACGGGGGCCCGCACAAGCGGCGGAGCAUGCGGAUUAAUUCGAUGCAACGCGAAGAACCUUAC
rnacentral:rRNA from 1 species